GAGAGCCGGUAAUAAUACUCAUGGAGGAGGAAUAACUGUUGACUUCAGAGAGGGACUGCAGCGACUGUCAUCCCAGGCAGUAACUGAGCUUCUGGGCCUGUGUGAAUGUAAAGGCAGCUUGGACAUCACAUGCUGUUGAAGCAGCACAACGCUCUGACCAGAAGUUGAGUAGAUGCUGGUAUCAUGCUCUUGGACUUACAGAUCUUACACUACUCUCCAGAACUGCAUGUGCUCUUUUGCUUUUUGUCAUGAGGUGAAACAUCACCAGGCUGUCACCAAGGUCAUGGUCAUGGACUUCCAGUCUUCAGAACUGUGAGCUACAUCAACAUUUUUCUUUUGUUUUAAAAAUAAUCCAGUGUCAGAUAUUCUGUUAUUAGCAGCAGGAAAUGGAUUCAGACUCCAAUUACCUCAUUGGUAAGUCAAGAAUAUUGCUUCUUCUGUAAGGAUGUUUUAUUUAGAAGUGGU